GGCAGGCAACACUGGUUGCUACUUCAGUAAUUCCUCCAAGAAGCUCAUUUCCAGCAGAUUCAACAUUUAAAAAGAGAGAAGAACUUGGAUUCACAGAGCCUAUAUAAUUUGUUCACUGUCCUGUGAAGGCAAACAGAAGCUUGAGACUAAGGGUGAGGCAUAGAACCUCUGUGCAUAUGUUAGUACUGAACAGACAUUGCAGUGGCACUCAGACACAGACGUGGGAUGGAAAGAUGUGCAGCAAACUUCACAGGAGCUUGGGAGAUGAGGAGAAUGAGAAAAGAAGUCAGCUGCUCCCGUGUUAAGGAUUCUACACGGCCAAAUGACUGAACUUUAUGGAGAGUUAGGAUGUUGUAGACCAGAGUCAAAUCCCAUCCCUAUCUCUAACCCAUCCUUGAGCUGAGUCCCAUCCCUAUGUCUAACCCAUUCCUGUGAAUAUAAAACAAACAAACAAAAAUGCACUGUAUAUUUGUAGGAAGCCACUAUCUCCCACCAAAUAAAAUCUGAAACCUACAAUAGCAAUGCCCCUUUCUUUGUUCAACAACUAAAAUAUCAUGUAGUUACUUCUACAUGAGAACACGGAUAACCCAAAUCCUCAUUUCCAGGCCCUGGUCUCUCACAUUUGGCUGUAAACUGUUACUCCUCCACGAGAUUUGAGCUGUGGUUUGCUUCAGCAGGUAACUUCCUC